UCAUUACAGUGGUCAGGUGGAAUGGCCACAUGAAUAAAAACAAUACAAAGUUGUCUGUGUUCAAUCAAAAACAAAACAAAACCAUAUUCCAGUAGAACAGAACAUGGGACAAUCUGCAAAGGCCAGAGGGGUCAGCAGAGCUUCAUGGAGGACCUUCUUCAGAGCCUUGAAAGAAGACAGACUUCAGAGAAAUGGCAGAGAGGAGGGUAUAAGAGCGUAUUGCAGCUACAGAGAAUGAGACUAGAAACAACUCCGUGUCAAGUACUAGAAAACAGCUACCAUGGGUCUGUUUGGUCUUUUCUUCUCCAACUAAACAUCCCAAGCUUCUUCUCUCCACACUGAAUGCAGGGCAACGUGAUCUCUUAUUCUGCUGUACCCAUGCGAGCUUAGAGAAAAGACAACUGCCUACAGAGGAAGAGUCUUACCAGAUACUGCGUCUGCUGGCACCUUGAUCUUGGACUUCACAGCCUACAGAAUUGUGAGAUAUAAUUGUUUGCUGUUUAUAAGCCACUCAGUUUAUGUAUUUUUGUUGUAGCAACAUGAAUGGACUAAGACAUUUCUUCUUGGCAAUUUUCCAACCUGUAACCCUCACCCUGCUCCCUGGCUGCAAAUUCCCACUUGCCCACACCAUGUUCAGAAUUGAGCCCCAUUUUACCAUGGGGUUUCUUUUCCCCUGCUGCAAUAAUCCUGAAUAAAAUCUGUU